rnacentral:rRNA from 1 species
UACGUAGGCAGCAAGCGUUGUUCGGAGUUACUGGGCGUAAAGGGUGUGUAGGCGGUUCCUUAAGUUUUCUGUGAAAUCUCCCGGCUUAACCGGGAGGGUGCGGUGAAUACUGAGGGACUAGAGUACGGGAGAGGAAAGUGGAAUUCCUGGUGUAGCGGUGAAAUGCGUAGAUAUCAGGAGGAACACCGGUGGUGUAGACGGCUUUCUGGACCGUAACUGACGCUGAGACACGAAAGCGUGGGUAGCAAACAGG